AGCGAACGCUGGCGGCAGGCUUAACACAUGCAAGUCGAACGGGCACUUCGGUGCUAGUGGCCGACGGGUGAGUAACACGUGGGAACGUACCUUUCGGUUCGGAAUAAUCCAGGGAAACUUGGACUAAUACCGGAUACGCCCUUCGGGGGAAAGAUUCAUCGCCAAUAGAUCGGCCCGCGUCUGAUUAGCUAGUUGGUGAGGUAAUGGCUCACCAAGGCGACGAUCAGUAGCUGGUCUGAGAGGAUGAUCAGCCACAUUGGGACUGAGACACGGCCCAAACUCCUACGGGAGGCAGCAGUGGGGAAUAUUGGACAAUGGGCGCAAGCCUGAUCCAGCCAUGCCGCGUGAGUGAUGAAGGCCUUAGGGUUGUAAAGCUCUUUUGUCCGGGAAGAUAAUGACUGUACCGGAAGAAUAAGCCCCGGCUAACUUCGUG
rnacentral:rRNA from 1 species